AACGAACGCUGGCGGCAUGCCUAACACAUGCAAGUCGAACGAGACCUUCGGGUCUAGUUGCGCACGGGUGCGUAACGCGUGGGAACCUGCCCUUAGGUUCGGAAUAACUCCCCGAAAGGGGUGCUAAUACCGGAUAAUGUCUUCGGACCAAAGAUUUAUCGCCUUUGGAUGGGCCCGCGUGGGAUUAGCUAGUUGGUAGGGUAAAAGCCUACCAAGGCGACGAUCCAUAGCUGGUCUGAGAGGAUGAGCAGCCACACUGGGACUGAGACACGGCCCAGACUCCUACGGGAGGAAGCAGUGGGGAAUAUUGGACAAUGGGCGAAAGCCUGAUCCAGCAAUGCCGCGUGAGUGAUGAAGGCCUUAGGGUUGUAAAGCUCUUUUACCCGGGAUGAUAAUGACAGUACCGGGAGAAUAAGCUCCGGCUAACUCCGUG
rnacentral:rRNA from 1 species